GACGAACGCUGGCGGCGUGCUUAACACAUGCAAGUCGAACGAAGAGCGAUGGAAGCUUGCUUCUAUCACUCUUAGUGGCGCACUUGUGAGUAACGCGUAAUCAACCUGCCCUUCAGAGGGGGACAACAGUUGGAAACGACUGCUAAUACCGCAUACGAUCUAAUCACGGCAUCUAGGAUAGAUUAAAGGUGGCUUCUACAUGUAAGCUAUCACUGAAGGAGGGGAUUGCGUUUGAUUAGCUAGUGGGGGGGGUAACGGCCCACAAAGGCGAUGAUCAGUAGCCGGUCUGAGAGGAGGAACGGCCACAUUGGGACUGAGACACGGCCCAGACUACUACGGGAGGCAGAAGGGGGGAAUCUUCCGGAAAGGAAGAAAGUCUGACGGAGCAACGCCGCGUGAGUGAUGACGGCCGUCGGGUUGUAAAGGUCUGUUAAUAGGGACGAAAGGAAUUCUUGCGAAUAAUGAGAAGGAUUGACGGUACCGGAAGAGAAAGCCACGGCUAACUACGUG
rnacentral:rRNA from 1 species